GUGCCAGCCUUGACAGAUGGCUAAUGAAAGAUGCAAUUGGUUCAACAGGUGGCCUUCUCACAUGCUGGGAUCACAGGAAUUAUGACGGAAAUUUGGUCAUGAAAGGUGGCUAUUCUCUAACCAUCCAUCUUGUUUGUAAGCAUACUAGUUUUGAAUGGUUGCUUUCCAACAUCUAUGGUUCCCAUAGCAAUCGAGAGCAUCGAACAUUAUUUGUAGAACUAAUCUCUAUGAAAGAAGAUAUCACUCUUCUAUGGAUUCUCUUAGGUGAUUUCAAUGCUACAAGAUUUUCAGUAGAUCGCAAAGGA
rnacentral:lncRNA from 1 species